CGGGUGAGUAACACGUGGGUGAUCUGCCUCGCACUCUGGGAUAAGCCUGGGAAACUGGGUCUAAUACCGGAUAUGACCUUACAUCGCAUGGUGUUUGGUGGAAAGAUUUAUCGGUGCGAGAUGGGCCCGCGGCCUAUCAGCUUGUUGGUGGGGUAAUGGCCUACCAAGGCGACGACGGGUAGCCGGCCUGAGAGGGCGACCGGCCACACUGGGACUGAGACACGGCCCAGACUCCUACGGGAGGCAGCAGUGGGGAAUAUUGCACAAUGGGCGAAAGCCUGAUGCAGCGACGCCGCGUGAGGGAUGACGGCCUUCGGGUUGUAAACCUCUUUCGACAGGGACGAAGCGCAAGUGACGGUACCUGUAGAAGAAGCACCGGCCAACUACGUGCCAGCAGCCGCGGUAAUACGUAGGGUGCGAGCGUUGUCCGGAAUUACUGGGCGUAAAGAGCUUGUAGGCGGCUUGUCGCGUCGAUCGUGAAAACUUGGGGCUCAACCCCAAGCUUGCGGUCGAUACGGGCAGGCUUGAGUACUUCAGGGGAGACUGGAAUUCCUGGUGUAGCGGUGAAAUGCGCAGAUAUCAGGAGGAACACCGGUGGCGAAGGCGGGUCUCUGGGAAGUAACUGACGCUGAGAAGCGAAAGCGUGGGUAGCGAACAGGAUUAGAUACCCUGGUAGUCCA
rnacentral:rRNA from 1 species